UACGUAGGGUGCGAGCGUUGUCCGGAAUUAUUGGGCGUAAAGAGCUUGUAGGCGGUCUGUCGCGUCUGCUGUGAAAAUCCGGGGCUCAACCCCGGACUUGCAGUGGGUACGGGCAGACUAGAGUGUGGUAGGGGAGACUGGAAUUCCUGGUGUAGCGGUGAAAUGCGCAGAUAUCAGGAGGAACACCGAUGGCGAAGGCAGGUCUCUGGGCCACUACUGACGCUGAGAAGCGAAAGCAUGGGAGCGAACAGG
rnacentral:rRNA from 1 species